CAGAGGAUCAGCAUGAUGUUGUGUGGUUUUGGUUGGAGAAAGGCAAGCCACACGAAUGCCCAGUCUGCACUCAGUAUUUCAAGCUUGAGGUUAUUGGGAACGGAGGAAACCCUGAUGGACAUGAUGAUGAGGACGACCACCACCACCAUUAAGGGCAUGUCUACUGAUGAAACAGUGGACCUGUGCCAACUUUUUUUUCUUGCUGAGAUGCUUUGAAGCUGUGAAAACAUCAGCUUUUUUGCGUGCCCGUAGAGUUUAAUACCCAUGCCAAUCAGUUUGCUGUUCUCAGUUGUCAUGACUGGGAAAUAGUAACAGCAAAGGGCCCUGGAAAACAUAGUUUUUCUGUCUGGAAAAUUACGCACA